GUCAAGAUGGCCGAGUGGUCUAAGGCGCCAGUUUCAGGUACUGGUCCGAAAGGGCGUGGGUUCGAAGCCCACUCUUGACA
rfam:Brassica oleracea var. oleracea cultivar TO1000 chromosome C8, whole genome shotgun sequence